rnacentral:rRNA from 1 species
UGCGUAGGCGGCGAGGUAAGUCAGAUGUGAGAGCUCAGGGCUCAACCCUGAAAUUGCAUCCGAUACUGCCUUGCUAGAGUAAUGGAGGGGAGUCUGGAAUUCACGGUGUAGCAGUGAAAUGCGUAGAUAUCGUGAGGAACACUAGUGGCGAAGGCGAGACUCUGGACAUUUACUGAGCUCAGGCACGAAGGCUAGGGUAGCGAAGC